rnacentral:rRNA from 1 species
UACGUAGGGUGCGAGCGUUGUCCGGAAUUACUGGGCGUAAAGAGCUCGUAGGUGGUUUGUCGCGUUGUCCGUGAAAACUCACAACUCAAUUGUGGGCGUGCGGGCGAUACGGGCAGACUGGAGUACUGCAGGGGAGACUGGAAUUCCUGGUGUAGCGGUGGAAUGCGCAGAUAUCAGGAGGAACACCGGUGGCGAAGGCGGCUCUCUGGGACGGUACUGACGCUGAGACGCGAAAAGCGUGGGGAGCGAACAGG